AUGAGGGGUGGUGGGGCUGGGGGGGGAGGUUGCUCACCCAGGGCCCCCAGCUGGGUGUGGUGGUCCCUCUUGCUGCCCUUGGCUGGGCUUGGGCUGCCAGCAGGCUGGCGGUCCUCCGUCCAUCUGUCUGUCCCCUCAUUAGGAUGCACAGUGAAGAGGGGGGCGCUGUGGAGUGUCAGUUGGGGGGGACACAGUUGGAGUGUCACCCUUCACCAGCGGGGCACUGUGGGGGCUGAUUUCAUGGCACAGCUGGGUCCCUGCCAGGGUCACGGCUCCGGUGCUGCCGCAGGAUGGAGCUGGCAGGGGCCAUGCCCCGGGAGCGAUGCUGGAGGCUCCCGCAGCGGCCGGCAGACCCUGAACCCCCCUGCCCCACGGGUGCAGCCCCCCGCUGCCCUCCUCAGGGGGUCCAGCCGGAGCCGAGCUCCCUGUGGGGCUGCCGGCAGCCGGGCCCCCGCAGCCCCCUCCCUGCGCAGGCGUUGCCAGCCCCCGCCGCAGUGGUGCUGGGCACGUCAGACAGGUUUUAUGGCUUCUCCUGAGAAACUGCUCAGCAAGAGGCUGAGCAAAAGCAUCGACCGCGCCGUGCCCCUCCCCCCCUGCGCUGCUGCCUGCCCUUCCCUCGCCGCACCCCAUCCACGCAUGGGCAGGGGCACCCCAUCCCCCUGGGGGGCUGCAGGGCCUGGCCCCACCAUGGGGGCUGCAAUGGUGCCCAGAAUCUGCCUGGUGCAGAGGGGGGUGUCUGUGUACUCUGGGACAGCCCCCCAUGAGGAGAUGUCCAGAGGGACCCCCAUGGGGGGAUUUUGGCUGGGGGCAUCCCCCAGAGGACCCCCAUGCAGAGGUGUGGGGGCUAAUGAUAACUCAUGGGACCCUCAUGCAGGCAUACUAGGGGGGGGCAACGUGCCCUGCUGGACCCCCGUAGAGAUGGGUGCAGGCAGGCUGUGCCCUGUGGGAGCCCCGUGCUGGAGUGUUGGGGUGACGGUGACCCACGGGACCCUCAUGCGGAGAUUCUGGGGAGGGGUGCCAGUCUCACCUCCCUAG
rnacentral:lncRNA from 1 species